rnacentral:rRNA from 1 species
AAUUACGCCAACGUGAGACGGGUGAGUUAACGCGUGAGAACGUACCAUUUGGUUCGGGACCAACAACAGAGAAACUUGUGCUAAUACCGGAUAAACCCUUACGGGGAAAGAUUUAUCGCCGAGAGAUCGGCCCGCGUCUGAUUAGCUAGUUGGUGGGGUAAUGGCCCGCCAAGGCGACGAUCAGUAGCUGGUCUGAGAGGAUGAUCAGCCACAUUGGGACUGAGACACGGCCCAAACUCCUACGGGAGGCAGCAGUGGGGAAUAUUGGACAAUGGGGGCAACCCUGAUCCAACCAUGCCGCGUGAGUGAUGAAGUCCCUAGGCUUGUAAAUCUCUUUUGUUCGUGAAGAU